AAAAACAAAGACCACACAGACCAAGAGGAAAAACAAAGACCAAACAGACCAAGAGGAAAAACAAAGACCAAACAGACCAAGAGGAGAAACAAAGACCACACAGACCAAGAGGAAAAACGAAGACCAAACCGACCAAGAGGAGAAAUGAAGACCACACAGGUGCACAGGUGCUCCAGAGAUCUGAAUGUCAAUCACGAGCUUAAAGUAACUGUGACGAAUUUUUUUAAGACAAUGGGGGAAAGAUGGAGGAUUUCAGUGGCAGAAUCCUAUAAAAGAAUUCAACAUGAGUUUAUGAAUGAAGAACAUAAUAACUGCAUUGAGAAAUUGGUAGUUUAAUACCUUAUUCGACAAAGACAAAGAGGAGUUUAGAGAAUGAAGGGAGGUGAAGAAAUCAAAAUGGAGCCACAGAAAAAAGACAAAAAUAGACAAACAAACAUGCAGGACUCAUUAGAAAAUAUAGGUUUAUCCUACAAGGAGAGAUGAGUGAGUCGAGGUAGUGAAGUGUGUCAGAACUUUAACUGAUGAAAGCUAUUAACCACAGAUUAAAAACACACUGAGAAUCCUAAGCAGGGCAGGGCACAUACAACCACCCCUGGCCCUGCUGGUGCUGAAAUAUCAAGACAGAAAAAUUUAAGAGGUCAGGGAGAAGGAGAGACAAAGUAACUUCACAGAAGUAACAAGGAGACCGACAGAUGACUUCUGGUGGGCAUGAUGGAGUCCAGGAGACACUGGAACUGUGCCUCUGUCACCUGAAGUCGGCCACAAGCUCGAGGUCUACACCUGCUGACAAGGUCCGCACAGAUGAGGACAGCCCCAGGUGGUGGACGCCCAGAGCAUAUGCCGACAGCAGCAUCAAAGCUGGAGAAAAGACGUGAAGAAGUUUUAAGGUAGAAAGAAAAUGACGAAAAGCAAGGAAAUUGGUAGAGAAGAGGGACCACAGAGGACAGGCACGUGUGGGUGAGUACAAAUAACGUGACGCUGUGAAUGUCUUACGAGUCUGUCAACAUUUACAGAAAGGAAGUUCUCAGGAACAGGUCACAGAGUCAGAGGAGACUCCAUGGGUUACAGGUUCUCGGUGCACCUGGAGCUGGUUCAUAAGAUCAGAUCCUAGAGCUCCAACGUCACAGAUUCCUGGUUAACUACACAGACGACAGAAGAAAAUAUGACCAAGCGGCAAGUGGUUGAACAUGGUGGCCACUGGGGUCGGACGCACGGUCACUAGGUGACCCAGGUGUGCAGAGCUGGCCGCUGAGUUCACACGCACGGUCACUAGGUGACCUAGGUGUGCAGAGCUGGCCGCUGGGGUCAAACGCAACAGUCUCUAGGUGACCCAUGUGUGCUGAGCUGGCUGCUGGGGUCAGAUGCACAGUCACUAGGUGACCCAUGUGUGCUGAGCUGGCUGCUGGGGUCAGAUGCACAGUCACUAGGUGACCCAUGUGGGCUGAGCUGGCUGCUGGGGUCAGAUGCACAGUCACUAGGUGACCCAUGUGUGCAGAGCUGGCUGCUGGGGUCAGAUGCACAGUCACUAGGUGACCCAUGUGUGCUGAGCUGGCCGCUGGGGUCAGAUGCACAGUCACUAGGUGACCCAUGUGUGCAGAGCUGGCCCCUGGGGUCAGUUCUGCACCUCAGUGAUUGCUCCUGUGUGCAGCCAUUUUCACCUCUUUGGACGCCAUCUGUGCUCUUCUUUCCUGGGGUCUUUUCAGGUCGUUUGCCAUCUGGCCUCUGUCUCAGCUGUGACCAAAAUAGCUGAACAACUUGGAGGAGGAAAAGUUUGCUGGGGCUCAUGGAUUCAGAGGUCUCCACUGCUCUGGACCCAAGAUACGAUGACCGCAGACAUUUAUGCACCCAACGUGAAGGCCCCAGGAGACAGAGAGCAGAAAGGGCAGUUGUGAUUCCACAAAACCUGGGACUUCCGCGGCCAUCUCCACCAACAAGAAGGGGCGGUCACCGAACAAGGGCAGGGGAGAGCAUUGAGAAACAGGGAACUGGGGGACCCAGAGCCCCCGGCAGGCUCUCCGUCCAGCAGCAGCACGCAGACCUCUGCCACGCGGUCCUUCAUAAAGGAGGUUCCGUGCAUAGAAACCGCUAGUGAGUUAGAUCAGAGAGACAGACUCUCCUCACCUUCUCCCAGCCCCAGACGCUCCUCCUAGUCCUGCCUCCAGCGAGGUCACGGGAGGCCAGCGAGA